AAUGCCUCUUUAUUUUUUUUUCUCCUUUUUCAAAAUUUUUAAUUACUUGACCUGUUACCCUUUCCUCCUCUCCUUCUCUUUGUUUUACCCUAGUAGUAAGAAAAUAAACCCUUCUCGUGCAUGCCUCCACUAUGUCUCCACUAAGCCUCACCGUGCCUCCACCGUAGCUUCACCAUUUUUGCUUGAAGUUUAAGUAGCUUUGACACUACCAUAGCUACCGCAAUCGGAGUAUGUUACUGGUUUAUAGUCCCUACCUUGUUCCUUAAGGUUUAAAUGUUAAAUUGUGCUGUGGUACUGAUGUUUGCUUAUUGAUAGUAUAAAGGAAGGAUUUUAUCUUGGUCCUCCACCAAAAGACAAACUUCCCAAGAACUCUCUACAAGGAUCUGUGUUGGUGGGAUCAAUAUCAUAUGGUAAACUAUCAUUUGCUGGUCUACAGGAUGGUAAACGUCCAGAAAAGCAUCAUGUGUCACAUCGGGUUUCUUAUAUCAUUCCCCCAAAUAAGACAAGGACUGGGAAGAUAUCAAGUUUGGGGUGGACAAUCAAGUAGACUUCUAUGUUGUCUCAUUUGUCAAUGAUGCUAGAGUGGUGCACGAGUUAAAAGAGUAUCUCAGAAGUAUAUUUGAUAGCUGAUAACAGAAUAUUGGUGAUUAAAUAUGGAAGGAUUGUAGUUGUUGAGCCAGAAGCAGAAGUUUUCUUUGGUCCAAGACCAGGUGAACCAGUCGAGGCUGAAAUUAUUGGUCUCUCAGUGAGCACAUCAGGUUCAACUGUUUACAUCAAUGUCAAGAAAAGAGGACUCUUUGCAUAUCACUCACAUGGAUAUUAAAUGUUUUUUGAACUAUCAAGAUUGUAAAUAAUUUUAGUUUUUGUAAUCUUUAAGCAAUUAAGGUCCUGAAGUUGUGUUGUGAGGGUAUAGGAUCUCUCUAAAUGUAAAUAAAUAACAUAAAGAAUAGCAAGGGAGAAUAAGAAAAAACCAAUCCUAAGAAUCAACCUAUUUAAAUAGUUAAUUGUUUGCAAUAACAUUCAGGAACAAAAAAUGGGGUGAUACUAAACUUUGUUUCCAUACCUUUCCAACAUUUAUAUUAUUCU